UCCCUGGUGGCUCAGAGGGUAAAGUAUCUGUCUGCACUGCCGGAGACCCAGGUUCAAUUCCUGGAUUGGGAA
rnacentral:tRNA from 1 species